GACUUGCCUUGUUCCUCUGGAAACUUCCUCGUAGAUCUCUCUCUCUCUCGUCGUAGCACAAACCGGGAUUCAGCUUGCCUUUGCCUCUCCGAUCGUCGCUUCCCACCCGAUCAGAAUGUCGUCCAAGCAGGGUGGGAAGUUGAAGCCCCUCAAGCAGCCUAAAUCGGAGAAGAAGGAAUACGACGAGGCAGAUCUAUCAAAUAUUCAGAAGAAGAAAGAGGAAGAAAAGGCACUCAAGGAGCUGAGGUCUAAGGCGGCCCAGAAAGGAGCAUUCGGGGGCACUGGUCUGAAGAAAAGUGGAAAGAAAUAACCUUCGUUGUUUCUUCUAAUUCGUGACAAAACCUACAUUCUGAGCCGUGCCAAGGUCAACAUGACAUCUAAGCCAAGUAUUUCCAAGAUUUGCUUGCUUUGAUUAUUUGAUACUAAUUUAGUGACUUGCACUUCUAUGAGAAAUGGGCUGAAGUAUGCUUAUAUUAUUGUCUAAAGAAAUGCUUUUGCCAAGAUUCAAAAAUGAUGAAAAUAGAGAUUUGUCAUAUUCA